GAGGGGCCCGCGCCCGAUUAGCUAGUUGGUGAGGUAACGGCUCACCAAGGCAACGAUCGGUAGCCGGCCUGAGAGGGCGGACGGCCACACUGGGACUGAGACACGGCCCAGACUCCUACGGGAGGCAGCAGUGGGGAAUUGUUCGCAAUGGGCGCAAGCCUGACGACGCAACGCCGCGUGGAGGAUGAAGAUCUUCGGGUCGUAAACUCCUUUCGAUCGAGACGAAUUCCCUUGGGGUGAACAACCCCGAGGGUUGACGGUACCGAGAGAAGAAGCCCCGGCUAACUCCGUGCCAGCAGCCGCGGUAAUACGGGGGGGGCAAGCGUUGUUCGGAAUUACUGGGCGUAAAGGGCUCGUAGGUGGCCAACUAAGUCAGACGUGAAAUCCCUCGGCUUAACCGGGGAACUGCAUCUGAUACUGGAUGGCUUGAGUUUGGGAGAGGGAUGCGGAAUUCCAGGUGUAGCGGUGAAAUGCGUAGAUAUCUGGAGGAACACCGGUGGCGAAGGCGGCAUCCUGGACCAAUACUGACGCUGAGGAGCGAAAGCCAGGGGAGCAAACGGGAUUAGAUACCCCGGUAGUCCUGGCCCUAAACGAUGAAUGCUUGGUGU
rnacentral:rRNA from 1 species